AUUGAACGCUGGCGGCAGGCCUAACACAUGCAAGUCGAGCGGAUGAUGGGAGCUUGCUCCUGGAUUCAGCGGCGGACGGGUGAGUAAUGCCUAGGAAUCUGCCUGGUAGUGGGGGACAACGUUUCGAAAGGAACGCUAAUACCGCAUACGUCCUACGGGAGAAAGCAGGGGACCUUCGGGCCUUGCGCUAUCAGAUGAGCCUAGGUCGGAUUAGCUAGUAGGUGAGGUAAAGGCUCACCUAGGCGACGAUCCGUAACUGGUCUGAGAGGAGGAUCAGUCACACUGGAACUGAGACACGGUCCAGACUCCUACGGGAGGCAGCAGUGGGGAAUAUUGGACAAUGGGCGAAAGCCUGAUCCAGCCAUGCCGCGUGUGUGAAGAAGGUCUUCGGAUUGUAAAGCACUUUAAGUUGGGAGGAAGGGCAGUAAGUUAAUACCUUGCUGUUUUGACGUUACCGACAGAAUAAGCACCGGCUAACUUCGUGCCAGCCGCCGCGGUAAGAC
rnacentral:rRNA from 1 species